rnacentral:rRNA from 1 species
UACGUAGGGUGCAAGCGUUAAUCGGAAUUACUGGGCGUAAAGCGUGCGCAGGCGGUUUUGCAAGACAGAUUUGAAAUCCCCGGGCUUAACCUGGGAACUGCAUUUGUGACUGCACAGCUAGAGUGCGGCAGAGGGGGAUGGAAUUCCGCGUGUAGCAGUGAAAUGCGUAGAUAUGCGGAGGAACACCGAUGGCGAAGGCAGCCCCCUGGGUCAAGAUUGACGCUCAUGCACGAAAGCGUGGGGGGCAAACAGG